AUGGCAACCCAGCCACACCAAUCGUCCAAGAAAUUCCUACAGCGCGAGGCCCCGCCGGCGAAGCGGAAGAUGGGGCCGGAGCAGAAGACGAAGAAGGCCGGGGCGGCAGCGCCGGCGGGGGCGGAGGCCUUCACGGCGCUCGAGCUCGACGUGGCCGAGCAGCUCAUCCGCCUCAGCGACAGCGCGUCCUCGGGCGGGUCCUUCUCCUGCCUGCGUUCCGUGGACACCCCUCCGGCGCCGCCGGCUAAGGGCGCCAUAAUUCCUGGCGGUUGCGUGGACUGGGACGAAGAUGAGGACGACGAGGUGGCCGGAAGGCAGCGCAGGGUGAAGCGCUACCGCCUGAUAAGCGAGAUCUAUGCCGCGACGGAGCCAAUUGGAGAGCGCAGCGGCAGCAGCCGGAAGAUCAAGAAGAAGGAAUAG
rnacentral:rRNA from 1 species